CCAGCGGUACCUGGUUUGUCUCAAGAAGGUUGUAAGCUGUCUGAGGGAUCUUCUCCAUUUCAGCGUCCCACUUGAUAAAUCUGCAUAAAAUGACAGGGUCAUGUCUUCGAAGAUGUAAGUUGUUAGGCCCUUGGUGGCUUCUAGGACGGCCUUCUUAUCCCUUGCGUUUUGAAAACGGAGGAUUAUGUCCCCUGUGGCAGCCAGAGGUGCUGUAG